rnacentral:rRNA from 1 species
GCAAGUCGAGCGAGAAGCCAUCUUCUGGUGGUGGAGAGCGGCGAACGGGUGAGUAACGCGUAGGUAUCUACCUAGUAGUGGGGAAUAACCAUUGGAAACGAUGGCUAAAACCGCAUACGCCCUGAGGGGGAAAACUGAGGUGGAAUUAGAGGAGCCUGCGUUAGAUUAGAUAGUUGGUGAGGUAAUGGCCCACCAAGGCGACGAUCUAUAGCUGGUUUGAGAGGAUGAUC